AGUGUGUCUUGACCAAGCGCCUCUUGCUGCUUCCACGUCCGGGCAGCAGCAGCAGCAGUCGCGAAAGGGUAGGGUCCAGGUGGCUGUGACGGAGGCCGAAGAGGAGCUGUUGGCAGAGAAGCAGCUUCUUGCCUAGGUUACGGCCGCCUACCGGCUGCAGAGGAGAAGGGGCCGCUGACUUUUGUCUCAGAAAAUGGCUGAACCGUCCCCUAAACAGAGGAAAGGGUGGAAUCUCAACACAAGUGGUAGGCAACUUUGAAAACAAUAAAUAGAUGAAGAAUGGAGAGACCUCAAAAGGAGAGUCUGGGAACCCUAGCCAAAGGACUGAAAAACACAUGCCAAAGAACAACACCCAGAGAGCUGGAAACACUGGAAAAGAUUUCGUGAUGCCCCCAACUUUACUUUAUAGGGAAGGUACGAAAAAGACUGACAACACCAAAUGCUAUAAUGUGGUAAAAUCGUGGGGACUUAAUUCCAUCAUAUGGAGGUUACUGAAUGUAUCAGAGACAGCCUGCAGUUCAUCACCACACAAAUUAGGAGCAACGUAAGAAGAGAAAAAGAAAAAGGAAUUACAGAUUAAAAAAUGCAAGAGAAUAUAAACAAAUAAAAAUAUGUUCAACUGGAAUUUGUAUUGGGAUUGUAUUAAAUGGAUGAA
rnacentral:lncRNA from 10 species